AUUGAACGCUGGCGGCAGGCCUAACACAUGCAAGUCGAGCGGAUGAAGGGAGCUUGCUCCUGGAUUCAGCGGCGGACGGGCGAGUAAUGCCUAGGAAUCUGCCUGGUAGUGGGGGAUAACGUCCGGAAACGGGCGCUAAUACCGCAUACGUCCUGAGGGAGAAAGUGGGGGAUCUUCGGACCUCACGCUAUCAGAUGAGCCUAGGUCGGAUUAGCUAGUUGGUGGGGUAAAGGCCUACCAAGGCGACGAUCCGUAACUGGUCUGAGAGGAUGAUCAGUCACACUGGAACUGAGACACGGUCCAGACUCCUACGGGAGGCAGCAGUGGGGAAUAUUGGACAAUGGGCGAAAGCCUGAUCCAGCCAUGCCGCGUGUGUGAAGAAGGUCUUCGGAUUGUAAAGCACUUUAAGUUGGGAAGAAGGACAGUAUGUUAAUACCUUGCUGUUUUGACGUUACCUACAGAAUAAGCACCGGCUAACUUCGUG
rnacentral:rRNA from 1 species